rnacentral:lncRNA from 1 species
CGCCGCCCCCGCGCGCGCCUGGCUAGCGGAUUCGGCAACGCGCCGCUCCUUCCAGUUCUCGGCCCGGGCCUCCCCCGCACCUCCCGGGUUUGCCCGCCGCGGGUCCCGGGCGCUGGCCGCAGCUAACCUCGUCAACCCCGAGGACCCGGAGAGGAGGCGCCGCGGUCGAUGCCCGGCCGCCAUGUUUUUUGGAGAUUGCCGCCCGAAAUGACGAGGAGGGGAUCCCGCACAGGAGGGCCUGGACUCGGGGGCAACCAGGCGAGCCCUGCAAAGGGUCAGACGGGGAUGAGGCGAGCCCCAGUGGCACCCAUAAGGCGGGCGGACGCUCAGCUUCGCCUUCACCGACCGCCCUGGUCAGAGGCGCCUAGGGGUAGUGAGGACGGGCGAGCGCCGUGGGCCCAAGGGUCUGGGCUGGUGAUCUUGGGGCUUCUUCCCUCCAACGCCCCAAAGCCACGCGCCCUGGGACCGCCGCUUGCCCUGCCGAUUCCUGGUCGCCCGGCAGCAAGCCUGCGCAUCCUCGGGAGAUGACCUUUCUUUUCUUGGCUAUUGACCUUUUGUACAUUAUAUUUAGUGGCCUAGACCAGCAAAGGAAAAGCCCGGAGUGGGAGGAGGGGAGUGCGACAUUGUGGGCCCCAACCCCACACACGCACACAAUGGGGCAGGGCAGCCAGGCCACAGUUUCCAUUUUUGUUCCUCCCGUCCCCUUUCUGACUGCCAAAUCCGCCUCUCCCUUCCCGUCCCCACGCGCCCACAUUUGCUCUCCCCCACCCCAUCCCUGUGCUGCCUCCUAUUCCUUGUUCCUUUCCGUUUAUAAGUUACAGAUGGACAUACCCAAACUCUGCUGCAUAAUCCUUAAUAGCAGAUCAUUAUAAAAUAUGGUUAAGAACGUUAAAACUGGAGAGUUUAAUCAUAUUAAAAUACCUCCCACCUCCACCACCAAAAUACGUAGACAAUUUCCUUUCCUUUCUCAUCGCCCCCUCCUUUUCCUUUUCUCGAUCUACUGGAGCGGCAGAGACACCUGCUGAUCCAAGAGAAGGGAGGGAGUAAGAAAGGACUGUGCUGCCUAUUAAAAAUAGAGAAUUUCUCGACAUUCAGGUCUUCGGAUUUUUAGGGUGAGACUUCAUAGCUUAAGGUUGAAUGAAUUUUCUGAUCGAGGACACUCAAGAUUCAAAUAUAAGAAUGAUAAUAAAACAAAUCCAAAGAUGAUUUUUUAGUCAUCUGUUGUUUUCUACAUUCAUGUAUUAGUAUAACUCCUAGUUGCAGUGCAUGGGGAGAUGGAGUUGCAUGUUUUUCAAACCCAGAAUUUGUAACAAGCUGAUCUUGAAAUAACCAAUGUAAUAAGUACAAUAGUGUUCCAUAUUGUCUUCAAAAUGAUAGUCUGAUUUCAAUUUGGAAAGCCUUUCUAGUUUUGAUGUAGUUGUUGUC